rnacentral:rRNA from 1 species
GUGCAGCAGUCGCGAAUCUUCCACAAUGGACGAAAGUCUGAUGGAGCGACGCCGCGUGGUUGAUGAAGUCCUUCGGGACGUAAGACCUUUAUGAGGGAGGAAGUAAUUGACGUUAUCUCAUGAAUAAGGGGCUCCUAACUCUGUGCCAGCAGGAGCGGUAAUACAGAGGCCCCAAGCAUUAUCCGGAAUCACUGGGCGUAAAGGGUGUGUAGGCGGUUGUAUUAGUCC